rnacentral:piRNA from 1 species
UAGGCACAUUGGAUCUACUGAAAUUGAAC